rnacentral:rRNA from 1 species
CCCGAUGAACCUGAAUAUCCGUUAUGGAAAAUUCAUCAUUAGAAUUGUAAUAUUUAAACAAUAUUAUAAUAAUAGUGUGCAUUUUUUCCAUAUAAGGACAUUGUAAUCUAUUAGCAUAUUAAAUUUAUCAUAAAAUUAUAGCAUAUAGUUUAUUUCAAUUAAAAUGCUUGCGUUUUAACAUGAAAUAAAAGACAUAAAUUUGAUAAAGUGCUGAUAGAUUUAUAAGAAUACAGUGCGUUAAUUUUUCGGAAUUAUAUAAUGGCAUAAUUAUCAUUGAUUUUUGUGUUUAUUAUAUGCACUUGUAUGAUUAACAAUGCGAAAGAUUCAGGAUACCUUCGGG